rnacentral:lncRNA from 1 species
GGGGUAUCCAACUUGGUCAUCCAUUGUAUUUUUAGAUCUCGUAAAGCUUCAGCAAAUUCUUCUUUUACAUCUUUUUCUUUUUCCUGUUCUCUUUCUUUUUCUUUGUUGCCAUUUUUGCUCUUGGAUGGUGAUGGUAUCAGAUGAUAGUGAACUGUAAGGACAUCAGCUUUCUUUCCAAGUUCUGUUUUAGACAGUGUAAGAGCUCCUGCAAGAUAACAUCCUGGUCCUGCUCCUUUUGGUAUUUUGUCAUCAGGCAGAGAUGUAACAAAGAAUGGUUGACUGUGUUUUGGUGGUAAUGUCAAACUGUUGGAUUUCUUCUUUCCUAAGAGAGCAAGACUAUGAUUUUCAUAAAUAUCUAAGCUCAAGGUACUAGACAACCUGUGUGAAACAAUAAAUGGAAGGUCUUUGAUGCGAUCCAGCUCACUGUUCUGUUCAUGACGAAUUUGUAACCGAAUAGUGUAAUCUCCUUUUUCCAGUUUCACAGAAUACUGGUGUGGAUAAGCAUCUCCUGACCCCAUUUGUCUUUUGUUUUGGUCAAAAAUAAUCCACAGUUGGC